rnacentral:rRNA from 1 species
CCUACGGGGGGCUGCAGUGAGGAAUAUUGGUCAAUGGGCGCGAGCCUGAACCAGCCAAGUAGCGUGAAGGAUGACUGCCCUACGGGUUGUAAACUUCUUUUAUAAAGGAAUAAAGUGAGGCACGUGUGUCUUUUUGUAUGUACUUUAUCAAUAAGGAUAGGCUCACUCCGUGCCAGCAGCCGCGUUAAUACGGAGGAUCCGAGCGUUAUCCGGAUUUAUUGGGUUUAAAGGGAGCGUAGAUGGGUUGUUAAGUCAGUUGUGAAAGUUUGCGGCUCAACCGUAAAAUGGCAAUUGAUACUGGCAGCCUUGAGUGCAGUAGAGGUAGGCGGAAUUCGUGGUGUAGCGGUGAAAUGCGUAGAUAUAACGAAGAACUCCGAUGGCGAAGGCAGCUUACUAGACUGCCACUGACAUUGAUGCUCGAAAGUGUGGGUAUCAAACAGGAUUAGAUACCCGAGUAGUC